rnacentral:rRNA from 1 species
UGGGGAAUAUUGGACAAUGGGCGAAAGCCUGAUCCAGCCAUGCCGCGUGUGUGAAGAAGGUCUUCGGAUUGUAAAGCACUUUAAGUUGGGAGGAAGGGCAGUUACCUAAUACGUGAUUGUUUUGACGUUACCGACAGAAUAAGCACCGGCUAACUCUGUGCCAGCAGCCGCGGUAAUACAGAGGGUGCAAGCGUUAAUCGGAAUUACUGGGCGUAAAGCGCGCGUAGGUGGUUAGUUAAGUUGGAUGUGAAAUCCCCGGGCUCAACCUGGGAACUGCAUUCAAAACUGACUGACUAGAGUAUGGUAGAGGGUGGUGGAAUUUCCUGUGUAGCAGUGAAAUGCGUAGAUAUAGGAAGGAACACCAGUGGCGAAGGCGACCACCUGGACUGAUACUGACACUGAGGUGCGAAAGCGUGGGGAGCAAACAGGAUUAGAUACCCCCGUAGUCCCUGAGCGGGCUGGCAAGGCGCAU